UGAGAGACAUCAUCUUAAGUGGUAUAGCA
rnacentral:piRNA from 1 species